rnacentral:lncRNA from 1 species
UCCAAACUCAGUAAUAGAGAGAGUCGCUUACUUCAGUGGAAGCCUGGCUCCACUUUGGAGAACUUUCAGCUGAUUAGUUCACGCCUACCUAAGAUCCUGGCUUCAAUAGGAAGACCUUUGAUUCUUUAUCAAGUACUCAGUUGUAUCUUCUUAAGAAACAUUCUCUUCACUUUUAAGAUCUUUCUAUUCCUGAUUCGAGGUAAAUUUGUUUUCUUUGUUUCUCUUUGUUUUUUAAUCUGGAUACUUGUUCACACUCCAUAGAGAUUAUCAACAUUAUUUCUCUUAUGAAAUAUAGAUAUAUGAGUUAUAUUAUUAUACUUUUUAAUAAAAACCAUUUUUCAUAAUUUUAAUAAAGUUUAAUGUAGUUUCUUUGGUCACAACUUACUAUAUAUUAUGGGUAUAAAUUGACCUUAAUUUACUGCUGAUGUUCUUUAUCUUUACAUUCAGAUAUGUUUACAAAAUAAAAUAAUGAGAUCGGUCACUUUUUAAUUUGUAAUACUUGACAUUUAAUUUCACAAUUUUUUUUUUUUCUUUUUUGAGACAGAGUCGCUCUCUGUCACCCAGGCUGGAGUGCAAUGGCAUGAUCUCAGCUCAUUGCAACCUCCACCUCCCGGGUUUAAGGGAUUCUCCUGCCUCAACCUCCCUAGUAGGGGGGAUUACAGGCGCCAGUCACCCUGCCCGGCUUUCACAAUUUUAUUAGUAUGAGUAAAAUGUUCAUUUUUUAUCCUAUGCAAUAAUGUAUAUAUAUAUGACAUAGAAAUUGUGUAUUUCUUUAAAGUUUUAGAUACCUUAACUGUUGGAAUUGUUGAAUUUUACGACUUCUAUUUAAUAUUUUAAUAAUUACUAUCCUAGAAAAUAUUUCAGAGAGCUUAUUUUAGGCUAGAGAUAUUUAUUUUUGCUUAGAGUAUAUCUUGAACUAUUAAAAUUAGAUUCUUAAUUUUCUAUUUUGUAUAUCCUGCAUAUGUUUGUGUAUAAUUAUUUUACCCAAAAGUGAAC